UACAGAGGUCUCAAGCGUUGUUCGGAUUCAUUGGGCGUAAAGAGUGCGUAGGUGGCGGGGUAAGUCAGGUGUGAAAUUUCGGAGCUUAACUCCGAAACUGCAUUUGAUACUGCCUUGCUUGAGGACUGGAGAGGAGACUGGAAUUCACGGUGUAGCAGUGAAAUGCGUAGAGAUCGUGAGGAAGACCAGUGGCGAAGGCGGGUCUCUGGACAGUUCCUGACACUGAGGCACGAAGGCCAGGGGAGCAAACGGG
rnacentral:rRNA from 1 species